rnacentral:tmRNA from 1 species
CGAUAUCGAUGGGGGCAGAAAAACCGCCGCAUGGCCAGCAGACUACGCACGUAGAAGACUGAGGGUUCGGUUAUCGGACCGGGGUUCGAUUCCCCGCAGCUCCACCA